rnacentral:rRNA from 1 species
NUAAGCUUUGGGGAGUCGGCAAACAGACUGUGAUCCAGAGAUCUCUGAAUGGGGGAACCCAGCCAGCACAAGCUGGUUAUCUUGUACUGAAUACAUAGGUGCAAGAGGCGAACCAGGGGAACUGAAACAUCUAAGUACCCUGAGGAAAAGAAAUCAACCGAGAUUCCCUUAGUAGUGGCGAGCGAACGGGGACCAGCCCUUAAGUUGGUUUGAGAUUAGUGGAACGCUCUGGAAAGUGCGGCCAUAGUGGGUGAUAGCCCCGUACACGAAAAUCUCUUAUCAAUGAAAUCGAGUAGGACGGAGCACGAGAAACUUUGUCUGAAUAUGGGGGGACCAUCCUCCAAGGCUAAAUACUACUGACUGACCGAUAGUGAACUAGUACCGUGAGGGAAAGGCGAAAAGAACCCCGGAGAGGGGAGUGAAAUAGAUCCUGAAACCGUAUGCGUACAAGCAGUGGGAGCCUACUUUGUUAGGUGACUGCGUACCUUUUGUAUAAUGGGUCAGCGACUUAUAUUCAGUGGCGAGCUUAACCGAAUAGGGGAGGCGUAGCGAAAGCGAGUCUUAAUAGGGCGUUUAGUCGCUGGGUAUAGACCCGAAACCGGGCGAUCUAUCCAUGGGCAGGUUGAAGGUUAGGUAACACUGACUGGAGGACCGAACCGACUACCGUUGAAAAGUUAGCGGAUGACCUGUGGAUCGGAGUGAAAGGCUAAUCAAGCUCGGAGAUAGCUGGUUCUCCUCGAAAGCUAUUUAGGUAGCGCCUCAUGUAUCACUGUAGGGGGUAGAGCACUGUUUCGGCUAGGGGGUCAUCCCGACUUACCAAACCGAUGCAAACUCCGAAUACCUACAAGUGCCGAGCAUGGGAGACACACGGCGGGUGCUAACGUCCGUCGUGAAAAGGGAAACAACCCAGACCGUCAGCUAAGGUCCCAAAGUCAUGGUUAAGUGGGAAACGAUGUGGGAAGGCUUAGACAGCUAGGAGGUUGGCUUAGAAGCAGCCACCCUUUAAAGAAAGCGUAAUAGCUCACUAGUCGAGUCGGCCUGCGCGGAAGAUGUAACGGGGCUCAAACCAUGCACCGAAGCUACGGGUAUCACCUUUUGGUGAUGCGGUAGAGGAGCGUUCUGUAAGCCUGUGAAGGUGAGUUGAGAAGCUUGCUGGAGGUAUCAGAAGUGCGAAUGCUGACAUGAGUAACGACAAUGCGAGUGAAAAACUCGCACGCCGAAAGACCAAGGUUUCCUGCGCAACGUUAAUCGACGCAGGGUUAGUCGGUCCCUAAGGCGAGGCUGAAAAGCGUAGUCGAUGGAAAACAGGUUAAUAUUCCUGUACUUCCAGUUAUUGCGAUGGAGGGACGGAGAAGGUUAGGCCAGCCUGGCGUUGGUUGUCCAGGUUUAAGGUGGUAGGCUGGAAUCUUAGGCAAAUCCGGGAUUUCANNNNNNNNNNNNNNNNNNNNNNNNNNNNNNNNNNNNNNNNNNNNNNNNNNNNNNNNNNNNNNNNNNNNNNNNNNNNNNNNNNNNNNNNNNNNNNNUCAAGGCCGAGAGCUGAUGACGAGUUGCCAUUAGGCGACGAAGUGGUUGAUACCAUGCUUCCAAGAAAAGCUCCUAAGCUUCAGAUAACUGGGAACCGUACCCCAAACCGACACAGGUGGUUAGGUAGAGAAUACCAAGGCGCUUGAGAGAACUCGGGUGAAGGAACUAGGCAAAAUGGCACCGUAACUUCGGGAGAAGGUGCGCCGGCGAGGGUCAAGGACUUGCUCCGUAAGCCCAUGCCGGUCGAAGAUACCAGGCCGCUGCGACUGUUUAUUAAAAACACAGCACUCUGCAAACACGAAAGUGGACGUAUAGGGUGUGACGCCUGCCCGGUGCCGGAAGGUUAAUUGAUGGGGUUAGCGCAAGCGAAGCUCUUGAUCGAAGCCCCGGUAAACGGCGGCCGUAACUAUAACGGUCCUAAGGUAGCGAAAUUCCUUGUCGGGUAAGUUCCGACCUGCACGAAUGGCGUAACGAUGGCGGCGCUGUCUCCACCCGAGACUCAGUGAAAUUGAAAUCGCUGUGAAGAUGCAGUGUAUCCGCGGCUAGACGGAAAGACCCCGUGAACCUUUACUAUAGCUUUGCACUGGACUUUGAAUUUGCUUGUGUAGGAUAGGUGGGAGGCUUUGAAGUGGGGACGCCAGUUCUCAUGGAGCCAUCCUUGAAAUACCACCCUGGCAACUUUGAGGUUCUAACUCAGGUCCGUUAUCCGGAUCGAGGACAGUGUAUGGUGGGUAGUUUGACUGGGGCGGUCUCCUCCCAAAGAGUAACGGAGGAGUACGAAGGUGCGCUCAGACCGGUCGGAAAUCGGUCGUAGAGUAUAAAGGCAAAAGCGCGCUUGACUGCGAGACACACACGUCGAGCAGGUACGAAAGUAGGUCUUAGUGAUCCGGUGGUUCUGUAUGGAAGGGCCAUCGCUCAACGGAUAAAAGGUACUCCGGGGAUAACAGGCUGAUACCGCCCAAGAGUUCAUAUCGACGGCGGUGUUUGGCACCUCGAUGUCGGCUCAUCACAUCCUGGGGCUGAAGCCGGUCCCAAGGGUAUGGCUGUUCGCCAUUUAAAGUGGUACGCGAGCUGGGUUUAGAACGUCGUGAGACAGUUCGGUCCCUAUCUGCCGUGGACGUUUGAGAUUUGAGAGGGGCUGCUCCUAGUACGAGAGGACCGGAGUGGACGAACCUCUGGUGUUCCGGUUGUCACGCCAGUGGCAUUGCCGGGUAGCUAUGUUCGGAAGAGAUAACCGCUGAAAGCAUCUAAGCGGGAAACUUGCCUCAAGAUGAGAUCUCACUGGGAUCUUGAAUCCCCUAAAGGGCCGUCGAAGACUACGACGUUGAUAGGUUGGGUGUGUAAGCGCUGUGAGGCGUUGAGCUAACCAAUACUAAUUGCCCGUGAGGCUUGACCA